GACACUGUGGCCGAGUGGUCUAAGGCGCGGGCCUGCUAAGUACACAGUAUUGCUGCAGUCUGAUAAGCUCGUAUCUUCGGAUGCGUGGGUUCGAAUCCCAUCGGUGUCG